CUUAAAGCAAACAUUUAACAAAGGCUUCUGGUACUUGCAGCCUCAGCCACAGCUGCAAAAUAAAGAUUCCAGGCCCAUGAUGAUGAUAUUUUCUUAGCUUCUUCCAUGAAGACAGCCACCACUUGGCUCAAGGCUCUUAUACCAUGCAUUAUGAGCAAUAAGGGUCCUAGUGAUGAUAAUGACCCUUUAAUCAAGCACCAUCCAAAUGCUCUUAUACCAUCUCUAGUCCAGAUUUUCCAGGAAAAUCUAAAGAUCUCUCUGUUAUCCCUUCCCCAAGACUCUUCCGAACCCAUUUGCAUACACAACGCCCCCAGAUUCUAUAAAGAACUCCACCUGCAAGAUUGUAUACAUCACUCGAGACCCUAAGGACACAUUUUUGUCCCUGUGGCACUUCAUGAACACCAAGACCAGGCCAGAGGAAGAAGAAGAAGAAGCAGAACACCCUUAAAAUGAAGCAUUUGAGAGCUUUUCCAAAGGGAUUCAUCCCUUUGGUCUUUUCCAUGAUCAGUGUUGGGGUAUUGGAGUAUUAAGAGAUGACGAGAGACCCAAGAGGGCAAGUGCACAAACUUGCAUCCUUUCUUGGAAGGCCUCUUGGUAAGGAAGCAGAUGUUGACAAUGUAUUGUGGAGGUGUAGCUUUGGAAGGCUUAAGAACUUGGAGGUGAACAAAGAUGGGAUGUAUACUAGAGUUGGGUUUGCCCAUAGCUCUUAUUUUAGACUUGGCUUGGUUGGGGAUUGGAAGAACCACUUAUCAAUGAAGAUGAAAGAGAGACUUGACAAAAUAACAAGAACAAAACUAGAGGGAUCUGGUUUAGAUCUUUAAUUAAAAUUCUUCUUCUUGCGCUUUUCAACUUGAUGUAUGCAUAGAUUAGGGAAGAGACUAAAUAAAUGUUAGCUUAUCCUUCUUAGGAGAUUAAAUUCGAUGGUG
rnacentral:misc_RNA from 1 species